UAUAUUGGAAAAGCGCCUGAACUAUUCGAACGGGAAAAAGAAUAGUUGACGAGGAAGAGGUUAAUCGAAGAAAUCGGCGGAUGCCUCUCGGUUGCUACACCACAACCGCAAACUUUAGUAGAAAAACAAAAAGGUGACUUUUUGAACAAAGACUAAAGUAUUGGUGCU
rnacentral:ncRNA from 2 species